rnacentral:misc_RNA from 1 species
GUCGCCGGAGAUGGAAACGGUAUGGUGGCAGCUGGGAACUCCGGGAAGCCGGCAACUCCGGCUGUUGUUUCAGUGACGCCGAGCCAGAGGCUUAGGCUGAACCCUAAUAAGGAUCAUAAGCCGGAGAGCUAUGAGGAUCUGCAAUUGGAUUUUAGUCCUUCGGUUUUUAGCUCGCUGGAGCGUUACUUGCCGCCGAGUAUGCUUGGUAUGAGUAGAGAUGAUAAGAUGAAGUUCAUGAGGGAAAUUCUAUUGAAGUACUUGCCUCAUGGAGAGGGAACCAGGGUUCAAAGACAUAGAGAAUACAGGCAGAAGAUAAUAUCAAAUUAUCAGCCUUUAAAUAGAGAAUUGUACACAAUGCACCCNNNNNNUUCUCCCUUCCUUUAUAAAGGCAAUCAGUGAUAACACAGAGGAGAGUUUUAGAAGUAUAAUGUCUGAACCCUCUCCCGGAGUGUUUACAUUCGAAAUGCUUCAGCCACAAUUCUGUAACUUACUAUUAUCAGAGGUGGAAAAUUUUGAGAAGUGGGUUAAUGAUGCAAAAUUUCGAAUCAUGCGACCAAACACAAUGAACAAAUAUGGUGCUGUACUUGAUGAUUUUGGUCUUGAAACCAUGCUUGACAAGCUUAUGGAUGGCUUUGUUCGCCCUAUAUCUAAAGUUUUCUUUCCUGAAGUGGGUGGAUCAACCCUGGAUUCUCAUCAUGGUUUUGUUGUUGAAUAUGGUAAAGAUAGGGAUGUUGACUUGGGCUUUCAUGUG